GCCUGAGUGGCUCAGUCGCUUGAGCGUCUGACUUCUGCUCAGGUCACGAUCUCACAGUUCGGGGGUUCGAGCCCCACGUCGGGCU
rfam:Felis catus isolate Cinnamon breed Abyssinian chromosome B1, whole genome shotgun sequence.